CCUACGGGCGGCAGCAGUGAGGAAUAUUGGUCAAUGGACGAGAGUCUGAACCAGCCAAGUAGCGUGAAGGAUGACUGCCCUAUGGGUUGUAAACUUCUUUUAUAUGGGAAUAAAACGUUCCACGUGUGGGAUUUUGUAUGUACCAUAUGAAUAAGGAUCGGCGAACUCCGUGCCAGCAGCCGCGGUAAUACGGAGGAUCCGAGCGUUAGCCGGAUUUAUUGGGUUUAAAGGGAGCGUAGGUGGAUUGUUAAGUCAGUUGUGAAAGUUUGCGGCUCAACCGUAAAAUUGCAGUUGAAACUGGCAGUCUUGAGUACAGUAGAGGUGGGCGGAAUUCGUGGUGUAGCGGUGAAAUGCUUAGAUAUCACGAAGAACUCCGAUUGCGAAGGCAGUUCACUGGACUGCAACUGACACUGAGGCUCGAAAGUGUGGGUAUCAAACAGGAUUAGAUACCCUAGUAGUC
rnacentral:rRNA from 1 species